rnacentral:rRNA from 1 species
CCUACGGGUGGCUGCAGUAGGGAAUAUUGCUCAAUGGGCGAAACCCUGAAGCAGCAACGCCGCGUGGAGGAUGAAGGUUUUCGGAUUGUAAACUUCUUUUGUUAGGGAAGAUAAUGACGGUAUCUAACGAAUAAUCACCGGCUACCUCCUUUCCAGCAGCCGCGGUAAUACGGAGGGUGCAAGCGUUACUCGGAAUCACUGGGCGUAAAGAGCGCGUAGGCGGGAUAGCAAGUCAGAUGUGAAAUCCUAUGGCUUAACCAUAGAACUGCAUUUGAAACUGUUAUUCUUGAGUAUGGGAGAGGUAGGUGGAAUUCUUGGUGUAGGGGUAAAAUGCGUAGAUAUCAAGAGGAACACUCAUUGCGAAGGCGACCUGCUAGAACAUAACUGACGCUGAUGCGCGAAAGCGUGGGGAGCAAACAGGAUUAGAUACCCUAGUAGUC